UGGCCAUGCUGUGAGGUCACUGAGGAAGCCUCUGGAGGAGGCAGCCCACAGGAGGAGGAACGAGGCCUCCCACCAACAGCCAUGUAAGCAUACCAUCUUGGAUGUGGUUCCUCUAGCCUCAGUCAAGUCUUCAGAUGCCUGCAACCCCUGCCAACAUCCUCCCUGCAACUUGAUGAGUGAUCACCCAGCUAAGCCACUGCUGGAUUUGUAACCCACAGAAACUGGGAGGGCAUCGCAUGGCCUCGACGGGGAUUACCCAUAGGAGAGAUGAGUUCUGCUGAGAACGCCUGAGUGAGCAUGGAGCAGAGCUCCGUGAGCACCUGCACCCAGCUGGGAGAAACCAGGAGCUCAUGAAGUGUCUGAGACAUUGGGUUAAAGCACACACAUUUAAAGGGACGAGGAAAAGAAAAGAGACGCAG